GGAGCCGUAGCGCAGAGGUCGUCGCGAGCGGUCUCCGCAAUCGCGAGGACGUCGGAUCGAUCCCGGUCGGCUCCGCCG
rnacentral:tRNA from 1 species